CUCCCUGCUCCCUUACUUGAGGUUUACAUGUUCGGGUAUGUUCUCAUCCUUCUGGAAUAGAACUUUAUGUUGAUUACUGUGAAUUUGUUAUUUUGAUGGGACAUGGGAGAACUCUUCUGCUUAUUUUCUUCUUAUCGUAAGGAAAAUAGCACCUGUCAGGGCAGAGCUGGAACAUCAGAGGAAGAAUGUAUGUAUGUAAAGGUGCUUUUCAAAUGUGAUGGCUUGUCAUUUAAUUAUUAUUUAAAUGAAUCUGCUUUAUUUUCAGAGUUGGUUGAUCAGAGUGAGUCAGAAGGCCCAGUGAUACAAGAAUCAACUGAGCCAAGCCAAUUGGAGGCUCCUGCAACAGAAGAAAUAAAGGAGGCCGAUGGAAGCUCUCAGAUCAAGCAAGAACCAGACCCUACGUGGUAGAGCUCUUCCCUCCUAGGCCUAAAGCUUCAGCGGGUGAGAAGAGCCUUUCAGACCUGUUACUCCCCAGCUGUGUAAUAUACUUGUAUAACAGAAAUACCUUCUAUACAAACCUUUUUUUCUACUUUUAGAUAGAAAUGUCUACUUUUUCAGCAGUUCUGUGAAUUGAAUUAAAGAGCAGAGUGACUGUAGAUUUGGAAUGGCUGGUUUCCUUUGGAAUGUAUUAUAAGGAUUUUACAGCAAUGCUGGAAAAAUGACAGGGAAAUUGACAGGGAUGAAUCUCAUCAGAUUUUUUACGUAUUCAGCAGAGCCUGCAGCUAUGGUGUUUAUUUUCCAGUCAAGUGAAGAUAUCUCCUACUGGAACAUCUCAACUUCUGCAGUGAAGAAAACAUCUGUGAUAGUUCAGUUCUUUAGUUUUUCUAUUUGAAAAAUCAUUUAAAUGAUCCUUUGGUUCACGGCUCUCCUUAAUGAUUGAGUGAACAGUUAGUAUCUGUAUAUUUGACUAAACCUUUUCCUAAGCUGUCUAUCAUGGUUCAUAUGUUUUUUAACCUAAUUAAAAAAAACCCAACCAUCUGGAUCACCUAACAGCCAGUAAGAGGUUAGUAUCUCAGCUUGUGGCUUAUAGAUGGAAUACAGAGAACCUCUUCCACAUUUGCUUUUCAUCCAAAUAAAGUGCAUGGUGUCCCAGAAGUUUAAGACCAGGUAUGAGUGUUUGGGCUGGGUAAUGACACUAAAGCCUCACUGUCAUGUAACCUAGUGUGGGGUGGGUUUCUUUGAACACUGCUCUGGCCUGGAUCAGACUCAAGGGGGUUUCAUUGCCUUCAUUAUUUUAUAAUUCUACUUGUAACAUUGAGGCUCCAGUGUGGGGAAGUGGGGAGGGUCAGUAUGCUCUGCACCCCCUAAUACUCUGCACCAUUUGCAGGAGAGUCUCACAUGUGUCGAGAGUUCACAAACAAUAAGAGUUGUAAAAUACCAGCUAUAUGAGAAGCUAGAGUAUGUGAUGGCAUAGAGUUUUCAUUAGCUUUAUCACAAUAUUCACAAUGGAGAAUUAUAUUACAUGGUAGCAGAAACAGGCAUUUUUAUGUGUUGCUUAUAUUUUACCUCAAGUUAAAUUGUAGAUAUAGGGUAAUAAAUAAAAUCCAUCCAUGCCUUU